GUGGCUUCGUCGAUUGAAUCGGCAAUGAUAUAUACAGGUGUGUAAUCUGCAAAUAAUCUGAAAUAACGAUUCUCUGGAAGGGGGAGUAUUGUAGGGUUUAUGCUUUAUAUUGCACUUGCUUCAUUACUUUACUUUGUUAAUUUUGAUAUUUUGGAUAUACCUAAGUUAGCUUUGUGAAAUGUAAAUCAAAAAGAAAAUUUUUCUCAUAUACACACAUACAUAUAAUUAUUUAGUAAAAAAUAAAGGUAGAAUGUCGAAUCAUUGGCAGCAAAGGCUUCCUUAGCUACUCGAGUUGACGCCUUUGGAGAGGAGGCGAGUUGUGAACUAGGAGCAACUCAUAGGUGAAACUAGAGGCACGCCUGCGAUCGCUGGAGGAAGGCAACCUACGCAGACUUUCUGGCACUGGAAAAGCAAACGCCAUAUUCAAAAAAUAUCAGGCUAAAAGCGAGGUAUUUCUUUGGAACUCGAGGCUGAUAGCACAAUAUCCGUUAAAAAGCGAGAACACUCAGAAUCAUCUCCAGCUGAAGUUCAGGAUGAAUCAGUGGUUGAAACUAGUGAAAAUCAAGAUGAAAGUACAGCUGGGGUAGGAAAGAAAAAGAAGAAGAAUGAAUCCGAGGCUGACAGCACAAUAUCCGUUAAAAAGCGAGAACACUCACAAUCAUCUCCAGCUGAAUUUCAGGAUGAAGCAGUGGUUAAAAUAGUGAAAAUCAAGAUGAAAGUGCAGCUGGGGUAAAAAAAAGAAGAAGAAAAAGAAGAAGAAUGAAUCCGAGGCUGAUAGCACAAUAUCCGUUAAAAAGCGAAAACAUUUAGAAUCAUCUCGAGCUAAAGUUUUGCAUAUUUCCAAUCACAUGAAGUGACCAUAAACCUUGGCUGUCUGAAGCGAGGUAUUAACUUUUGAACUGAAGGCUGAUAGCACAACAUCCGUUAAAAAGCGAAAAUAUUCAAAAUCAUCUCGAGCUAAAGUUUUGCAUAUUUCCGAUCACAUGAAGUGACCAUAAACCUUGGCU